GAGUCGCUAGCUCAGUCGGUAGAGCAACUGCCUUUUAAGCAGUGGGUCCGGGGUUCGAUUCCCCGGCGACUCA
rnacentral:tRNA from 1 species